rnacentral:rRNA from 1 species
AGUGAACGCUGGCGGUAGGCCUAACACAUGCAAGUCGAACGGCAGCACAGUAAGAGCUUGCUCUUACGGGUGGCGAGUGGCGGACGGGUGAGGAAUACAUCGGAAUCUACUUUUUCGUGGGGGAUAACGUAGGGAAGCUUACGCUAAUACCGCAUACGACAUACGGGUGAAAGCAGGGGAUAUUCGGACCUUGCGCGAUUGAAUGAGCCGAUGUCGGAUUAGCUAGUUGGCGGGGUAAAGGCCCACCAAGGCGACGAUCCGUAGCUGGUCUGAGAGGAUGAUCAGCCACACUGGAACUGAGACACGGUCCAGACUCCUACGGGAGGCAGCAGUGGGGAAUAUUGGACAAUGGGCGCAAGCCUGAUCCAGCCAUACCGCGUGGGUGAAGAAGGCCUUCGGGUUGUAAAGCCCUUUUGUUGGGAAAGAAAAGCAGCAGGUUAAUACCCCGCUGUUCUGACGGUACCCAAAGAAUAAGCACCGGCUAACUUCGUG